AGAAAUUGUCUAAUGUUGCACAUUGCGGUUUCAUAUUCUAUUGGGUCAGAUGCAGACGGAUACGUAACUUCCCCCUCCUUUCUCAUUGAAUUCUCCUGAAUUCGAUUUUCUACUUGAACUUUACAAACUUUACUAUUUGGUUUAAGGUAAGCAAGUAAGCAUUAUAUAAUAUAAUAUCAUCCAAAAAAAAUAGUGAUCGAUAAUUUUAACUUG